rnacentral:rRNA from 1 species
GACGAACGCUGGCGGCGUGCUUAACACAUGCAAGUCGAACGGAAAGGCCCUGCUUUUGUGGGGUGCUCGAGUGGCGAACGGGUGAGUAACACGUGAGUAACCUGCCCUUGACUUUGGGAUAACUUCAGGAAACUGGGGCUAAUACCGGAUAGGAGCUCCUGCUGCAUGGUGGGGGUUGGAAAGUUUCGGCGGUUGGGGAUGGACUCGCGGCUUAUCAGCUUGUUGGUGGGGUAGUGGCUUACCAAGGCUUUGACGGGUAGCCGGCCUGAGAGGGUGACCGGCCACAUUGGGAAUGAGAUACGGCCCAGACUCCUAAGGGAGGCAGCAGUGGGGAAUAUUGCAAAAUGGGCGGAAGCCUGAUGCAGCAACGCCGCGUGCGGGAUGACGGCCUUCGGGUUGUAAACCGCUUUCGCCUGUGACGAAGCGUGAGUGACGGUAAUGGGUAAAGAAGCACCGGCUAACUACGUG